rnacentral:rRNA from 1 species
UACGUAGGGGGCAAGCGUUGUCCGGAAUCAUUGGGCGUAAGGCGCGUGUAGGCGGCCCGAUAAGUCCGCUGUGAAAGUCCAGGGCUCAACCCUGGAAUGCCGGUGGAUACUGUCGGGCUCGAGUCCGGAAGAGGCGAGUGGAAUUCCUGGUGUAGCGGUGAAAUGCGCAGAUAUCAGGAGGAACACCGAUGGCGAAGGCAGCUCGCUGGGACGGUACUGACGCUGAGACGCGAAAGCGUGGGGAGCAAACAGG